ACUAUUAUAUCUCUGCGUAGAAUAUGUGAGAAAUCGACUCAAUGCAGGAACUUUUAAGGUAAAAUUUUCAUCUCUUUUCUUGAUUCUUUUGUCAUCUUAUUACUGUUUUACAUUUGGAGGAGGGUAAAAAUUUACCCAUUAUCGCUAAUUAAAAACUUAUGUUUGUAUAUUUAAAUCUGCACCCAUUAUCUAAAAGUAGUAGUAAUUGUAGCAGUACUUUGCACUAAAGAUUAAAAGCUUUGAAUUAUUUGUGGGUUUUCCCUUAAAACUGAUGUAGGUCCAAGCAAUUGAAGUAAAACCCAGAAAAGCUGUCCCAUCGGAAAAAACCCUGUAAAGCUAGUACUCACACACUCUUUUUUCAUGAGCAUUUAUAGAUUAUUAUACCUCAGAAUUCCCAUGCUUUUUUUUUGACUAAUUUUGAAGUUGGUGUAUUGAUUUAAGGGAUUCUGAAUUGAAGCAAAUUGGAAAUUCAUGGAUGAGCUUAAACUAUACUUUAUCUCAAUUUUUCAUUUGGCUCGGUGGUGAUUUUGCGAUGAAAAACCAAAGCAAUAACUUUAGGAACUAAAGUUUAAAAAACCUAGUAGAGUCGACACUAGGUAAAUACUUAGCUAGUAUUUAGACAUAGAUUUUAUUGAAACUUGAAAAAAAAGAGUUUUUGAAGUUGUGUUGAAAAAUAAUUUUUGAAAAUUGAAGUUGUAUUUUGGACAUAUAUUUUAUUUGAAGAAAAGUUUGAAGUUUUGUGAGCAAAAGAAAAAAUUUCAUCCAAAAACUGCUCUAAACCAGUUCUUAGGAACUUGAAAUUUUUUGUUUUUUUAUUCAAUACAUGAUCCUAUUUCAUAAACAAACAAUGUUUACAAAUUUUUUUGAAAAAAAGAAGCUAAAAUCUAUUGGAGCUUAACAUUUGUCAAAGUUGUUGUAGAUUAGUUGAGGUGCGUAUAAGUUGGCGCUGUUACCACUAGCUUAGGAGCAAACUUCGUGCGGCCACCUCUAAUCUCUAUGGAGAAAAGCACAAAUACAAAAAUUGAUCAGUGUACUUCAUUGUUUAUCAUUGACUAAUGAUCCUUACCUUUUAUAAUAUAUAUAGUGGGAACUUAAAAGAGCAAGAACAUAAUUGUUAAAAACAAACACAAAGCAAAUUAUGCAGCAGUGGUAAGACAUGCUGCAAUUUUCAUGCCUACACCUUUCUUAUAAUGAUAUCCUUUUAUCUUUUUCCUUUAACAUUCCUUUUCUUUUUAUCCGCUUUGCCAGCUUUUAUGGAUCUGAAUUUUCUCAACAAUAUCUCAUGACAUCUAACAAUAAACUUAUACUAAUAACUAUUCUGGAUGCUUGCAUUAGUUUAUCAGUUUGCCACGAAAUUCAAGAGGACUGCUUACAUUUUGGUUUACUUGUUACUUCAACAAUGAAUUUUGUGAGAAUCAACUAAAACGAAUGGGAUAUUAUUUAUUAUUGAUUAUUUAGUCACUCCACUUGUAUUAUAAAAUGUAGUCAGUACUACUAACUUACAUAUUAUUUAUUAUUGAUUAUUUAGUUGGUUUACUUGUUACUUCAACAAUGAAUUUUGUGAGAAUCAACUAAAACGAAUGGGAUAUUAUUUAUUAUUGAUUAUUUAGUCACUCCACUAUUAUUAUUAAAAGAUGUUUGUUAAUAGCAUCAAGAAUACUAGUGAUGGUUAAAUCCAAGAUAUGGAUUUUUGUUGAGAGAAGAAGUAAUUCUAAGACACUCUUUUAACAAAGUUCUUUUUAUUUCCUUUCAGUUCACAGUAAUUUCUUUAUGUUAUACGCAUUUAAUAAAAUCGUCCUUUCCGGUUGCGCAAUGGUUGAAUAGCUUGGAAUCUGUCUCCCUCCUCGCUCAAAAAUAGAAGACCACAGUACAAGUUUUAAUGGCUCUAGAACUCAGGUAGAGCUGAAAUUCCAAAUGCUAAAUGUGUUAAGAUACACACAACAUUGGCAAACAUUAUGCUUUUUGUUGCAAAAGCUAUGUGUCGUACUUUCUCCUGUAUCUAUAUGUCCUUAAUACUUUGUGGAUGAAGUCCUCUUUUUUGUUUGAUCUCGAUAAUUCCAAUCGAAGUGGUCAGCUGCUGAUAUCAAUUUCAGGAACUGCCUGCCGAUGUGGUCCAAAGUUGACGAGAUUUUAGCACUCAUUGGAAGGCAGAUAAAUUCCAUGCCAUUCUUGAUAAAAAUAGGGAAGUUGGAUUGCUCAUUUUUAUGAAAGAAAAGCAAAGUCAGCUAUCACCUGUUUCAAGUGACAAAAGGGUAAUCGUGCUGAUUAGAAGAUUUAUUCUGUCUUGUGGAGACUAGACAGGUAGAAAAUUCCAUAUGUUUUCUCUAGAAGGAGUUUCACUUAAAUCAGGAGAUUGAUCAUAGUCAAGGAAGGAAGAUAAAGAUGACCGGUUAUUGCUCACAGGGGCUCUUGGAAAGUAUUAAUGAGGAAUCGUUAGAUAUCAUUCUGGCAGAGGAACUGAACUAAGGAUCUACUCUUCCAUGGCUAACAUCUGCAACAGCUCAAGGCUUCAUAUUCCAAGCUAUUGUAUUCUACUUAAAUACGUAAACAGAGUGGAAGUUGUUACUCAAUAUACAAUUAGCUGAAGAAGGUGAUGAUUUAACACUAUUUGGAGUCUUCUCCCUUAAUUAUGUGCAAGGCAAUGCACCUUAUUUGAUUUGAGUUUGUAGUUUACUACCAUAAUCCUUGAUAUUAGUGUGCCUUUUUUUUGAUUUUAUUUAAAAAAUUUUCUUCACUUGAGGGAGUUGGGAUCUUAAGUAACUGCUAGAUUUUGUUUGGUCCCCAGGUCCCUUGACUUUAUGAAUUUAAAAAGCUUAUGGCAAGGAUCAAUCACUGGCUUUUUUAACGAAGAUAUGCAUUUGAGAUUUCAAUUGUCCUGUUGAGGAUUUGUGUGCAUGGGAAUAUGACCAGCUCUAGCUGUUGUAGAAG
rnacentral:lncRNA from 1 species